rnacentral:pre_miRNA from 11 species
AACCGUACGGAAAAAUCCAUCUUUCCGUGCGGGCGGAUUAAGUGGACCGCAUGGGAUAAUCGAUUAUCCCGUGCGGUC